rnacentral:rRNA from 1 species
GUGUACAGCCAUGCCACCCUGAACACGCCCGAUAUUGGAACUAAGCAGGGUCUGGCCUGGUUAGUACUUGGAUGGGAGUAUUCCCAUCUGGGAAUACUGGGUGCUGUAGGCU